CACAUGCAAGUCGAACGGUCUCUUCGGAGGCAGUGGCAGACGGCUCAGUAACGCGUGGGAACAUACCUUUCGGUACGGAACAACAGUUGGAAACGACUGCUAAUACCGUAUACGCCCUAUGGGGGAAAGAUUUAUCGCCGAGAGAUUGGCCCGMGUUGGAUUAGCUAGUUGGUGGGGUAAUGGCCUACCAAGGCGACGAUCCAUAGCUGGUCUGAGAGGAUGAUCAGCCACACUGGGACUGAGACACGGCCCAGACUCCUACGGGAGGCAGCAGUGGGGAAUAUUGGACAAUGGGCGCAAGCCUGAUCCAGCCAUGCCGCGUGAGUGAUGAAGGCCUUAGGGUUGUAAAGCUCUUUCGCCGGUGAAGAUAAUGACGGUAACCGGUAAAGAAGCCCCGGCUAACUUCGUGCCAGCAGCCGCGGUAAUACGAAGGGGGCUAGCGUUGUUCGGAAUUACUGGGCGUAAAGCGCACGUAGGCUGACUUUUAAGUCAGGGGUGAAAUCCCGGGGCUCAACCUCGGAACUGCCUUUGAUACUGGAAGUCUUGAGUCCGAGAGAGGUGAGUGGAACUCCGAGUGUAGAGGUGAAAUUCGUAGAUAUUCGGAAGAACACCAGUGGCGAAGGCGGCUCACUGGCUCGGUACUGACGCUGAGGUGCG
rnacentral:rRNA from 1 species